rnacentral:rRNA from 1 species
GAUGAACGCUGGCGGCGUGCCUAAUACAUGCAAGUCGAGCGAACAGAUGAGGAGCUUGCUCCUCUGACGUUAGCGGCGGACGGGUGAGUAACACGUGGAUAACCUACCUAUAAGACUGGGAUAACUUCGGGAAACCGGAGCUAAUACCGGAUAAUAUAUUGAACCGCAUGGUUCAAUAGUGAAAGACGGUUUUGCUGUCACUUAUAGAUGGAUCCGCGCCGCAUUAGCUAGUUGGUAAGGUAACGGCUUACCAAGGCAACGAUGCGUAGCCGACCUGAGAGGGUGAUCGGCCACACUGGAACUGAGACACGGUCCAGACUCCUACGGGAGGCAGCAGUAGGGAAUAUUCCGCAAUGGGCGAAAGCCUGACGGAGCAACGCCGCGUGAGUGAUGAAGGUCUUCGGAUCGUAAAACUCUGUUAUUAGGGAAGAACAAAUGUGUAAGUAACUAUGCACGUCUUGUCGGUACCUAAUCAGAAAGCCACGGCUAACUACGUG